rnacentral:rRNA from 1 species
GACGAACGCUGGCGGCGUGCUUAACACAUGCAAGUCGAGCGGAAAGGCCCUGCUUUUGUGGGGUGCUCGAGUGGCGAACGGGUGAGUAACACGUGAGUAACCUGCCCUUGACUUUGGGAUAACUUCAGGAAACUGGGGCUAAUACCGGAUAGGAGCUCCUGCUGCAUGGUGGGGGUUGGAAAGUUUCGGCGGUUGGGGAUGGACUCGCGGCUUAUCAGCUUGUUGGUGGGGUAGUGGCUUACCAAGGCUUUGACGGGUAGCCGGCCUGAGAGGGUGACCGGCCACAUUGGGACUGAGAUACGGCCCAGACUCCUACGGGAGGCAGCAGUGGAGAAUAUUGCACAAUGGGCGGAAGCCUGAUGCAGCAACGCCGCGUGCGGGAUGACGGCCUUCGGGUUGUAAACCGCUUUCGCCUGUGACGAAGCGUGAGUGACGGUAAUGGGUAAAGAAGCACCGGCUAACUACGUG